GACGAACGCUGGCGGCGUGCUUAACACAUGCAAGUCGAACGAAGUGGCGAACGGGUGAGUAACGCGUAAUCAACCUGCCCUUCAGAGGGGGACAACAGUUGGAAACGACUGCUCAUACCGCAUACUGAAGGAGGGGAUUGCGUCUGCUUAGGAAGUUGGAGGGGUAACGGCCCACCAAGGCGAUGAUCAGUAGCAGGUCUGAGGGAGUGAAAGGCCAAAUUGGGACUGAGACACGGCCCAGACUCCUACGGGAGGCAGCAGUGGGGAAUUUGCCGCGAUGGACGAAAGUCUGGCGGAGCAACGCCGCGUGAGUGAUGACGGCCUUCGGGUUGUAAAGCUCUGUUAAUCGGGACGCGGUACCGGAAUAGAAAGCCCCGGCUAACUACGUGCCAGCAGCCGCGGUAAUUC
rnacentral:rRNA from 1 species